rnacentral:lncRNA from 1 species
UCGAACAAUAAAUCUAUCAGUAAGUAUCACCUAGAGAGAAUAAAACCAAAAGAAUGGUUUUGAUAAGUAAAGGCAAAUACGAUGCUUUCUUGCAUAGGUACUUGCAAGAUUCUAAGCCAAUCCCCUUGGAUAAAGAUCCUACGUAUAAGCUUAAAGCUAUGGUUGAUAAGCUAUGUAGAAAUAAGCACCUUUGCAGUAUUUGGAGUUGUAAAACUGUAAAAACUCCCGCCUGUCCUAGGUUGUUUGCCUACAUUAAGGUCCACAAAAACCCUAUAUCUAUUAGACCCAUCGUUGAAAAGUGUAGUGCUCCUACUUACACCCUCAAGAGAGAAAUUGUUAAGUGGGCUA